UUGGCCAGGCAGGGCUGAGAAAUACAUAGGAAGGGAUGAGUAAGCCGAGCUGUGUCAGAGAAUGACAAAAUCUUUGUCAUUCUUGUGGGAAUGAGGAAAAGUCUAUCAUGAGAGUGAAAGGUAGGUGAAAGUCAAGGGUGCUUCAAUGAGAAAAGGGGAAACAGGCAUUGGAUGGGAUCCGGCAGGGUCCCUGGACAGAUGGUAUACCCUGGACCAACUCUCCUAUGAUGUGGCAGUAGCUGGGCAUCUUGUUCAAAGGUUCAUCACAGAACCCAAACCUGUGCCUCCCUGCCUAGGACUCGCCCUGCUAAAAGGAAAGGCACUACAGACCGCUGAUGCCUUCCUAAGCUGAAGUGGUCCUUGCUCCACUAGCUCCAUCCAUGGAUGGAGGCUCUCAUUCACAGCUGACAGACCCUGCUAUCAUAGGCUGCAGUCAUACCGUGAGGAUGCUGGAAGAGUGGAAAUGAAUAGCUGUGCUGUGUGCCAGGCCAUAUGCCGCCUGUGUGCUGCAAGCCGUCUCCAUCAAACUUCAGAUUCUGCCUAGGGAAUGGGAUCUCUUCAUCUUCAGCCAAAACACUGAGACUCAGACGGGAGGUGCAGCUCCUCCACGAUUGAUAAGAAUCUGAAAUACGUAGACAUCGCAGGGGGCCAGCCCUCUCAAAGGUCGGUUCAUUUCCUCUUCACGUGCUGUCCAUUGGUCUCUAGCUGUCAAUCAAGAGAUGAAUCUGGAGUUCUUUUUCUGCUGCACCCUGCUCACUCCCUAUCCUCACUGGGCUACAUAACACCUCCAGAAGCCAAAGUCAGACACUCAAGGAUGAGUUUAUGGAAGACUGGAUAUUGAAACAAGAUGCCCAGGAGGGGUUUUCCUUGUGUCCUGAAUCUGCUGCAGGAUGUUCAGGAGUCCACAUGCACCAGCCCCUGUCUGCAGACUCUGAGAGAAAAAACCCUGACUGACAUGUGAACAGAGAAUGAUAGGCAGGAUGUGCCUGUGCACACUCCUCCCCACCUCUUCAACACACCUCAUCACAGACAGGUCUGCUGCACAGGAGAAGGAAGUGAGCUCGGGAUCCAGCCUUGGUCGGAAGCUUGAAAUGAGAGGAACUGAGUCUGAAAUACUGGACGGAGGAUGGCAAGGGAAAGGCAGAAAAUAAUGACAGCUGCCAAGGUGACACGGAGAAGCACCGCAGGAAGAUACAAGUUCUUUGAGGAGCUCAGUUAUGGGUGCCCCACUCUUUCCAGUUCUGCUCUCUCCAGCCCCGCUUGCUCCAGCCCAAAGAUUUAUUUAUUUUUAUUAUAUGUAAGUACACUGUAGCUGUCUUCUGACACACCAGAGGAGGGCAUCAGAUCUCAUUACAGAUGUUUGUGAGCCACCAUGUGGUUGUUAGGAUUCGAACUCAGGACCUUCGGAAGAGCAGUCAGUGCUCUUACCCACUGAGCCAUCUCUCCAGCCCUCACAUAUGGAUUUUAAAGUCAUCUGGAAAUUACUUUUUAGUGGGGCAGAAAAUGAAAUUUUAUUUU
rnacentral:lncRNA from 1 species